UUCUCCUGAGAUUUCCGCCGGCAGGGUGGGGCCGGGUUUUCUACAGCCGCUUCCACCUCCUGGACUUGAGGCUGCUGUGAGAGAUAAGAGAAACCGAGUCAGGGCUCCUGACCUUGAGGGGACUGCGGGGCCAUCUCUUGAAGUUGCUGUGAGGGAGAGGAGAGAAACUGAGUCAGGCCCCUGACCUUGAGGAGGGGGACAUCUCCCCUGGAAGCAUCUGAGGAGCCACCAAGCUGCGGGGCGGCCCCAGGUCUGUGAACAUCCACUGUGUGUUCAGUAAGCUGUGUGAACUUGGGUACGUCUCUUAACCUCUCUGGGCCUUCAUCUUUUUCCCUGCGAAAUGUGGAUCAUAAUCUUUGUCCUGCCUCCCUCAGAAAGCUGUCGGGACAUCAGACAAGGGACUGGGCUUGGAACACUUUGCAAGGCUAGCGCUGAUCUUUCAACCUGCAAAAUUCCACUGGGGAAAAGUGUGGAUACGCAGCCCAGCUAAGGCAGAGGACAGAAGGACGUCAGCAGGCGUGACAGGGAGAGAGCCUGCCACACUGAAGCCUCAGCCGCAGUCCCGGGUGUCACAGAGAAGCCACAAACAGCAGAAAUGGUUUCCUGUGACUGGCUCAGGGACAACGUGCUCAGACAGUCCUCUGCUAGCUGCCAGCGGAUCCUCCACGUGGAAAGAAAUGCAGACAGACCCCCGUUCCCAGGCUAUCUGCAGGGUCCCUCCCUCCUUCCCGCUCACGUAUACACUGUCUGCUUUUGCUCUGGACUCAGUCUACCGGCUGACUCCCCGUCGUGUGGGAAAAUGAUUAGCUCUACAAUAACUGAACAGCCUGCAGAACAACUAACUAAAUACCUUUUAGUUAUUCUUUGACAGAUGCAUAGCUUCUCCAUUUCACAUCUUUUAAAAUAUACCCAUCUUGUUUUUACAGGGAAUUAGAUGAAUAUGGUAUUAUUCUCUCUCUGUCUUUUAGAGACAGGGUCUUGCUAUGUUGCCCAGGCUGGCCUUGAACUCCUGGGCUCAAGCAAU